GCUCUUGUGGCGCAGUUGGUAGCGCGUAUGCUUAACAAGCCUUAACUUGUAAAGCGCAUAAGGUCCUGAGUUCAAGCCUCAGCGGGAGUA